rnacentral:lncRNA from 1 species
UUGGAUAGCGAGAAUUUCACCAAGGGAGCAUAUUGUUGUGACCUGUAUAAGCCAAAAACAGUCUUGAAAACGUAUGAUAUUCCAAUCUAUCUUUUUCCACAAAUAGAUGACUGGAUAAUUUCAGAUAUCAUACUUGCUGAAAUAGUACUGCGUUCAAAGUACAAAUGACUUCCUCGAAGACCUACAAAGAAAGAUCGUGAAAAAUCGGGAGGAAUAUAUUUGGAAAUAGAAAUAUCAACUCAUGUAGUGGUUGUUGGUCUAAGG